rnacentral:tRNA from 1 species
GCCUGCAUAGCUCAGUUGGCAGAGCGCAUCACUCGUAAUGAUGAGGUCUCCGGUUCGAUUCCGGAUGCAGGCU